rnacentral:rRNA from 1 species
GAGUGGCGGACGGGUGAGUAACGCGUGGGUAACCUACCCUGUACAGGGGGAUAACAGUCAGAAAUGACUGCUAAUACCGCAUAAGACCACGGCACCGCAUGGUGCAGGGGUAAAAACUCCGGUGGUACAGGAUGGACCCGCGUCUGAUUAGCUGGUUGGUGAGGUAACGGCUCACCAAGGCGACGAUCAGUAGCCGGCUUGAGAGAGUGAACGGCCACAUUGGGACUGAGACACGGCCCAGACUCC